rnacentral:siRNA from 1 species
UAUCUAUAGUUAGUGUCUGCGC